ACUCAUUUCUCUUCUCUGAUUGAUUUCUCAGCCGCCUCUCUCACCUCAGUCCUCAGUCCUACAGUGAGCUUGUAUUAAUACAAGCUCACUGUAGCCUGAAUUGUAAAAAAAAAAAAAGUUUUUUAUUCUCACGACUCUCUCUCCGAACUCAGUUCUCUCCUCUUUCCUCUCUCUGUUCUCUCUCCCGAUGGAUGUGACCCGGCGAUGGUUCUGGUCCGACGAUGGUUCUGGUUCGGCAAUGGUGGUCCGAUAGUCAUGGGUCCGAUGUGGUCUGAUGGUCUCCCUCUGUUCUCUGUUCUUUGUUCUCUCUUCGUGGGUCGGAGUGUGGGUUUUUGGUUUGGAGCGUGGAUCGAAGGGUGGGUCUGAUUGUUCGUGGGUCGGAGCGUGGGUCUGAUUGUUCGUGGGUCAUCCUCCGCCGGGUUCCACUCCUUUAAUCGAAGAUUUCUCUCUCUCUUCACUCCGGUGAUCGCUGCCUCCUUGUUGGAUCCACUGGCGCUGUGCAUAUUUGUGGUGAAAGAGAGGCUUGCAUAUCUGCUCCAGUUUCAGAAGAGCAAGCAACUACAUUGGUCCCCUAGAUUGACAGAUUUAUUAGUUUUUGUGCUUCAGAGCAAAUUUGUUUGGACCCUGAAAAAUGUUUACAUCUUUACUCUGCAAGUGAAUUGUAUUUGAUGGGCACUAAUAUCAUUAAAUCACUCACAGUAAACAUAUUGAUGUUAAUAGUUGUCGGGGUUUCAGUCAUAUCUGUUUAUAUGAGGUUCAAGGAGCUGGUCAUUAUACUUGGAACGCCAAUGCAUGUGCAUGUGCAUGUGGAUCUGUUUCUGGCAGCUGUUUGGAAGCUUCAGAACUCCUCAGAACAUUUGACUACUUUGCAUCCACAUUUUCUUCAUAUUUGUUUAUUCAUAAAUUGUUCCAAAACUGGCCUAUCAAAUUGGGAGGAAGAUAUCUCUGAGGUUGAUCAUCUGGACGACCUUUUCCUCUACUGUUAUUAUGGGUUGUUACUGCUCCAAUGUCAACUCAAAAUUUCAUAGCUGUUGAAGCUUAAAAAAAAUACAUAUUGGUUUCUCUCAUUCACCAUGGGCAAGUAUGCUUCUUUUUUUUUACCCUUAUAUUGAUGGGGCUGAAGAGAAGGCUAUUAAAGAAAUAGAGGCAAAUAAUUCACAGCCGGGGUACAAUUUUUGGGCAACUAAAUUGCUGUCACUCUUUGAGACUAAUCAAAUUACUUAUUCUUUUUUUGGUGGCAAUUCUCUACCAGUCUUCCUAAGUACACUUCUUCAGCUGCUUGGAGAAAUCUAAAGAGCUUCUGUUAGUAUCUGCUUCCCAAUGCAUUUCUCUUCUUUCCAAGCAGAGAUCAGCCCUACAUUGAAUUGGCGAAUAGUUAUAGCACUGGGGAAAUUGCAGAAUUAGAGGCGAACAUCCAGACAAACAAGGAUAAUUUUAAAAGAGACCAAAAUCUUGGACUGGUGUAGCUGGCUGUACCUAGCAAAGGUUAGUCUAUCACUUCGUUAGUUGAACUUGUUCAUAAAAUAUUAAUCAUUUGGCACUAAUUACUUUAUUAUGUAUUAUCUUGUUUUAACCUUGUUAAUUACUUUUGCAGGUUAUAAAUUGUUAAAGUUUUGUUUUAAAAUAUUUCGUUUUAUUUAUUAGUUUAACAGGGAUCAAAUUAGUGAAUUGCCUGAACUUGUCAUCUCUUGCAUUUUAUCAAAGCUAACAAUGAAAGAUGUGGUUAAAAUUGGCAUACAAUCAAGGAGAUGGGUGAAUAUUCGGUUAUUGAGGACUGAUCUAAAUUUUGAUGUUCCUAUUAUUUUCCAUAGCAUUUGCUGAAAUUCAGCUAUUUUCAAUUUGUGUUUGGAAACAACAAAAAUUGGGAAAGCUCCCAUUUGACAAUGAAAUGUUAAACAUCCUAGUG